UCCAACUCCAUAUUGCAAGGCGCUGAGUAACAGCUUAUGAUCUCUAACAUGCAAUGGCUCCAGGGUUUGUUUACCAACAUCCACUGGAGACUCCAGCUUUUCUGUAGAAACAGAAACUGAGCCCAGGCUUAUCCAGGAAGCUCAAAAGUCCCUGUGGGCACAUCCACAGAGAAGACAGCCACAGCUCAGCCUCCUGUUUUACCUCUUGGACUGCUGUGUCCCUCUGAGACAGACUUCAUUGAGAUCUCUGUGAAAUGGAUGAUGUGACUUACCAGUAUCGUACAAGCUGUUCCAAGAAUAUCAGCAAGGCACUGGAAUAUGACAGGGGGACUGGAGACUUUCCUGAGAAGGUCCUACCCAGUGAUGGAAAAUAUAUUUGUGUUAUUAAUUUAGCACAAGUGUCUUCUAUAAUGCUAAGGUUUACUUUCAAAUAAAACAUAAAUUGCACAUCUGGUUGGAAGAAAUAAAUGCAAUAGUGCUUCAAA